rnacentral:lncRNA from 1 species
AUUUGCAAAGCUGGUGGUCGUACCUGAUGACAGUUUUCCCCCUACUUCUAUUCGAGAGAGUUAGAUUUUGAGAGACUACUUCUUUGAAAAGUUCUGCCCACUGCAGAAGGAGGAACUGCAUGGUCCUUUUUUGCUCCCAAACUCCUGAAAACCAAAAUAUACACUUUUCAUAUGAUUACUUUGGAGAGAAGAAAAGGGAAGGAGUGGAUGUAUCCUCCCAUAUCUCAAGCUUAGAGAGGAUAUCUCAAUAAAACAGCUCAAGCCCCUUGAGGAGUGUUUCUUAUAAUUGGUAGACAGGGUCAACUGAAGUUAGCACCUAAACGAAUCUGAACGGUGAGAAACAGGCAAGACAGCUGUUGACGAACAAACCAAAAGGAUCAUGGCUGAUAGGAAAGCCCACUCUCAGCUUGUCAGUGACGAAGGGAUGUGUGUGUGUGUACACACGUGCAUGCAUGUUCAAGAGGGCUGCCUGAGGGGGCAAACAGACUUGAGUAAAGACAAACCAGAAAUGCUGCCAGAUGCUCAGAGACUGAGUGAAAAGCCAAUGAGAAGGAAUCAGCUCUCAAGGAGUGGAAGACCAGAAAGGCUCCGCAGGAGAAAAGGGGUCAGCUUCCAACUACUUUCAGGCCCAAAGGAGUGUGACGCUGACGCCUUCCUCUCACUCCCUGUAUGCAGACCUUUAUGGGAACAGACACACCUGAUGCCAAGAAUGGAGAAAACCAGUAGAAUUAUAAGUGUAUCCUAA